rnacentral:rRNA from 1 species
AUUGAACGCUGGCGGCAGGCCUAACACAUGCAAGUCGCACGAGUGGCGGACGGGUGAGUAAUGUCUGGGAAACUGCCUGAUGGAGGGGGAUAACUACUGGAAACGGUAGCUAAUACCGCAUACCAUCAGAUGUGCCCAGAUGGGAUUAGCUAGUUGGUAGGGUAAAGGGUCACCAAGGCGACGAUCCCUAGCUGGUCUGAGAGGAUGACCGGCCAUACUGGAACUGCUACACGGUCCAGACUCCUACGUGAGGCAGCAGUGGGGAAUAUGGCACAAUGGUCGCAAGCCUGAUGCAGCCAUGCCGCGUGUAUGAAGAAGGCCUUCGGGUUGUAAAGUACUUUCAGCGGUGAGGCGUUACCCGCAGAAGAAGCACCGGCUAACUCCGUGCCAGCAGCCGCGGUAAUAC